rnacentral:tRNA from 1 species
UGCCCUAUAGUAUAACGGUUUAUUACUACAGACUCUAAAUCUGAAGAUUUCAGUUCGACUCUGAAUGGGGCGA